UACGAAGGGGGCGAGCGUUGUUCGGAAUCACUGGGCGUAAAGAGUGCGUAGGCGGUUAUGAAAGUUAGGAGUGAAAGCCCAGGGCUCAACCUUGGAAUUGCUUUUAAAACUACAUAACUCGAAUUCGGGAGAGGAUAGCGGAAUUGUCAGUGUAGCAGUGAAAUGCGUAGAUAUUGACAGGAACACCGGUGGCGUAAGCGGCUAUCUGGACCGACAUUGACGCUGAGGCACGAAAGCGUGGGGAUCAAACAGG
rnacentral:rRNA from 1 species